rnacentral:rRNA from 1 species
UACGGAGGGGGCUAGCGUUGUUCGGAAUUACUGGGCGUAAAGCGCGCGUAGGCGGAUCUGCAAGUCGGGGGUGAAAUCCUCCAGCUUAACUGGAGAACUGCCUCUGAUACUGGAUAUCUCGAGUAAGGUAGGGGUGUGCGGAACUGAUGGUGGAGCGGUGAAAUGUGUUGAUAUCAUCAGGAACUCCGGUGGCGAAAGCGGCGCACUGGACCUUAACUGACGCUGAGGCGCGAAAGCCAGGGGAGCGAACGGG